UGGCAAUAGGCCUCACGCCGUAUAAAUAGCAGAACGAAACAAGCAAGAGAUACAGAUCUCUUUGUCAGCCCAACGCGAACAACCAUGAUGCGCCGCAGCCUCUUGAUAACAGUUGCCUCCAUGGCGACGGUGUGUGUGGCGGUGGCUGACAGUGGGUAUGGUGGACGCGGAGGUGGAGGUGGAGGCGGCCACGGAGGAUUUGAGGCGGAAACGGAGGUGGAUUUGGAGGUGGAUUCGGAGGUGGAUUCGGAGGAAACGGAGGGUGGAUU